rnacentral:rRNA from 1 species
GACGAACGCUGGCGGCGUGCUUAACACAUGCAAGUCGAACGGAAAGGCCCUGCUUGCAGGGUACUCGAGUGGCGAACGGGUGAGUAACACGUGGGUGAUCUGCCCUGCACUUCGGGAUAAGCCUGGGAAACUGGGUCUAAUACCGGAUAGGAGCCAUUUUUAGUGUGAUGGUUGGAAAGUUUUUUCGGUGUAGGAUGAGCUCGCGGCCUAUCAGCUUGUUGGUGGGGUAAUGGCCUACCAAGGCGGCGACGGGUAGCCGGCCUGAGAGGGUGGACGGCCACCUUGGGACUGAGGUACGGCCCAGACUCCUACGGGAGGCAGAAGUGGGGAAUAUUGCACAAGGGGCGCCAGCCUGAUGCAGCGACGCCGCGUGGGGGAUGACGGCCUUCGGGUUGUAAACUCCUUUCGCUAGGGACGAAGCUUUUUGUGACGGUACCUAGAUAAGAAGCACCGGCUAACUACGUG